GAGAGAGAGAUGACAAGAGAGGAGGAAGAGCCCAUUUUAGCAUAGCAAACCCAGAGAUUCUGUAUGUUUCCCGUCAGGUACCAGCAACUUUGGGAGAUGUACAACAAGGCUAAGGCUAGUUUUUGGACUGCUGAGGAGGUUGAUCUCUCCCAGGAUGUACAACAAUGGGACUGUGGGAGGCUCUGACUGACUCCAAGAAACACUUUAUAAGUCAUGUCUUGGCAUUUUUGAGGCAAACAUAAGGCCAAGGUUGCUCGACUUGGUUCUCUACUUCCCCCUGCUCAGAAGGUUGGCGGUGGAACGAUGAAACUUGGCCCAGUCAAAACAAAGAUGCCUUCAGGACUGAGAGAAACCAUGGGAUUCCAGUGGUUGUUGUUGGGCAUCAUUUUGGACAUGCAAGUGGGAUGGCUCCUCGAUCACAGUAAUUAAUCUAGACCCGAGUCUCAUUGUAUAAUCCUGUUGUGUUUUUUGCUGCUGGUAGAAAUGCAACUAUGUAGCUCUAUACAGUUACUUUUUUUUUUCUUCUCUGUGGCCAUUUUGGGUGUGUAAGAAUUGUGAGUAUAUUUGGUUAUACCGUCUUAAUCACAUCACUCACAUGCCUAUUUAUUCCACUCAGUAUAGGGCUGAGAAUUCAGUUCUUG